rnacentral:rRNA from 1 species
CCUACGGGUGGCUGCAGUGAGGAAUAUUGGUCAAUGGCCGGAAGGCUGAACCAGCCAAGCCGCGUGAAGGACGAAGGUGCCAAGCACUGUAAACUUCUUUUGCAAAGGGACAAAAUCAGGCUCGAGAGCCUGACCGAGGGUACUUGAAGAAAAAGCAUCGGCAAACUCCGCGCCAGCAGCCGCGGUAAUACGGGGGAUGCGACGUUUAUCCGGAUUUAUUGGGGUAAACGGGUGGGUGGCCGGACUGUUAAGUCAGCGGUAAAAGCCCGGGGCUCAACCCCGGCGAGCCUUUGAAACUGGCUGUCUGGAGAUGUCGAGAGGUAUGCGGAAUGCGCAGUGUAGCGGUGAAAUGCUUAGAUAUUGCGCAGAACUCCGAUUGCGAAGGCAGCAUACCGGCGGCGAUCUGACGCUGAGGCACGAAAGCGUGGGUAUCGAACAGGAUUAGAUACCCCAGUAGUC